UAAUUCGUCUAUACCAAACAG
rnacentral:piRNA from 1 species